rnacentral:rRNA from 1 species
AUUCCAGCUCCAAUAGCGUAUAUUAAAGUUGUUGCAGUUAAAAAGCUCGUAGUUGAACUUCUGAUAGUUGAUUUGGCUGGCUUCGGUCGCCUUGUUGGCUGUCAUCCGCUUGGGAAUUUCGUUCGGUCCUCAUUGAUUGGCGGGGGGAUCAAGCAUUUUACUUUGAAAAAAUUAGAGUGUUCAAGGCAGGCUAUCGCCAUGAAUACACAAGCAUGGAAUAAUGGAAUAGGACUCUCAGUCAUUUUAUUGGUUAUUGACUGAAAGUAAUGAUUAAUAGGGACAGUUGGGGGCAUUCGUAUUUAAUUGUCAGAGGUGAAAUUCUUGGAUUUAUUAAAGACGAACUUAUGCGAAAGCAUUUGCCAAGGAUGUUUUCAUCG